rnacentral:rRNA from 1 species
UACGGAGGGGGCUAGCGUUGUUCGGAAUUACUGGGCGUAAAGCGCACGUAGGCGGCUUUGUAAGUUAGAGGUGAAAGCCCAGGGCUCAACCCUGGAAUUGCCUUCGAUACUGUUGGCUAGAGACCGGAAGAGGUAAGUGGAACUGCGAGUGUAGAGGUGAAAUUCGUAGAUAUUCGCAAGAACACCAGUGGCGAAGGCGGCUUACUGGUCCGGUUCGUGACGCUGAGGCGCGAAAGCGUGGGGAGCAA